rnacentral:rRNA from 1 species
AUUGAACGCUGGCGGCAGGCCUAACACAUGCAAGUCGAACGAGUGGCGGACGGGUGAGUAAUGUCUGGGAAACUGCCCGAUGGAGGGGGAUAACUACUGGAAACGGUAGCUAAUACCGCAUACCAUCGGAUGUGCCCAGAUGGGAUUAGCUAGUAGGUGGGGUAACGGCUCACCUAGGCGACGAUCCCUAGCUGGUCUGAGAGGAUGACCACCCACACGGGAACGGAUACACGGUCCAGACGCCUACGGGAGGCAGCAGUGGGGAAUAUUGCACAAUGGGCGCAAGCCUGAUGCAGCCAUGCCGCGUGUAUGAAGAAGGCCUUCGGGUUGUAAAGUACUUUCAGCGGGGAGGCGUUACCCGCAGAAGAAGCACCGGCUAACUCCGUGCCAGCGGCGGCGGUAAUUC